CAGUGCAGUCACCCAUAAAGUAGAAAGCACUACUAACAGCACUGGAGGGUGUAGUGUUUCCUACUUUAUGGAUGAGUGUACUGU
rfam:Dipodomys ordii contig_17869, whole genome shotgun sequence.